AAUAUUUAUCGGCCUCCUCCUCCGCCUCCACUUCCCCUCACACUUUUCAACCGCUUUUUAUAGUUCCCCCUGGCCUCCCCUGCCUCCUUGCUCCCCCACUCCCCGCUUCAACCCUGCGAGAGCAGGCAGCCGGAGCUCGCGCGCGCGCGCGAGGCGCCGAGGCUAGCGGGCGCCAUGGCCCUGGCCGACGCCACCGCCUUCCCCUACGGGCUGCGCGUCCUCGUCGUGGACGACGACCCGACCUGGCUCAAGAUCCUCGAGAAGAUGCUCAGGAAAUGUUCUUACGAAGUAACUACAUGCGGCUUAGCCAGAGUUGCUCUUGAAAUUCUCCGGGAGAGGAGAAACAAGUUUGACAUCGUAAUUAGUGAUGUCAACAUGCCUGACAUGGAUGGUUUCAAGCUUCUUGAACACAUUGGACUUGAGAUGGAUCUACCUGUUCUAAUGAUGUCCAUCGAUGGAGAAACAAGUAGGGUGAUGAAAGGUGUGCAGCAUGGUGCUUGUGACUAUCUCCUUAAGCCUGUUCGAAUGAAGGAACUCCGGAACAUCUGGCAACACGUAUAUCGGAAAAAAAUGCAUGAGGUGAAAGAGAUCGAAGGCCAUGAUAGCUGCGAUGAUCUCCAAAUACUCAGAUGUGAGGGAUUGGAAGAGAGGGGCCUAUUUAUGAGAGUUGACGCCGAUGCCACGAGGAAGAGAAAAGAUGUUGAUAAGGACCAUGCAGAUCCGGAAUCGAGUGAUGGUGCUACUGUUAAGAAGUCUAGAGUUGUCUGGUCUGUUGACCUUCAUCAGAAGUUUGUUAAUGCUGUGAACCAAAUUGGAUUUGACAAAGUUGGGCCGAAGAAAAUAUUGGACCUAAUGAAUGUUCCUGGCCUGACAAGAGAGAAUGUGGCUAGCCAUCUUCAGAAAUAUCGCCUCUACUUGAGUAGGUUGCAAAAGCAGAAUGAGGAAAUGAUAAUGGGUGCUACUAGGCAAGAUUUCAGUCACAAGGGACCAUCAGAUAACCUUAACCUCCGAAGCUCCUUCCAAGAGCAACCAGGCAACGUUGCUAAUGGAUUCCAGCAUGGUUCUCAGAAGAUCCAAGCUCAGGCCAACAUGCUAGAUUCUCAUUUAGAGGACACGAAGAUUGCAGUGCCCUUGCAGGUGCCAGAUAAAAAUAGAACUCCUGUAAGUGAUGUUACUGACUCUCAGAAUGUCACCGGUGCUUCACCUUUAGGUGGGAUGCUCUCUUUUGAAAGAAUUUCAGUAAAUCAGGACAGGAAGCCAUCAGAAACAAUGAUCUUGGGAUGUCAGUCCUGGAGUGGGGGCGUGCCACCAAAGCAGUUCAUGCAAUAUCCAAAGCAUAACCGUGAGCGUUGCGACCUGUUAAGGGACUAUUCAUGCCUACCCAAACCAGACCUAGAGCACCCAGUUGCCCCUGGUCAUCUAUAUACCCCACCACCGGUAAUAUCGAUGAGUUGCAGCAUGGAGGGGGAUGUCAGAGACUUCUCAGAUGUGAAAUCAGGUCUUCUUGGCUGUAUGAAGUCCUUAUCACCGGCAGUGACGUGUACAGUUGAUUCAGUUUCUGUUCAACUUAGUGACAGCGUUGUGACCUCAACUGAUGGUGACCUGAAGUUUUCCAAUGUGGAAGGGUUGCCCAACUUUAAAGUUUCUUACUUCGAUCAGACAAAGAGCCAAGCCACUUUGCUUACUUCAGAAGAUGCAAAUCUCAUAGGAUGCACAGAAAUGGCUUGUCUACCUAAUGACCUGCCCGGUUAUCAACUUCAAGGUGUCUCUUUUGAGAAUAUAGGACUGAAUAGCAUCGAUUUGUUUCAGUACAAUGAUGCAAUGAUACUACCUGGACUACAAAAUAACUGGUAUGAUGAUCUAGAGUUUAGCAGCGAAACAACAGACUACCCGCUGAUAGAUGGAUGCCUAUUUGCAUAAAUGUGUCAGCUGCCCUCAUCUUUCGACCACGUCCUUCGGCGAGGAAGGAUGAUGUUCUUUGAUGCAAGGAUGACAUAUCAGACAUAAUGAAGAGAACAGUGCUAGGCAACAAGAAAAAAAAGUCAAUCCACUAGUUUGCCUACAGACUAGUUCUUCAACUUAAAUCGGGCAAUGACAGCCACUCGCUUGCUGCUGCAUCAACAGGACUGGUCACUUACAAUGGAUAUUCAAUGUCAUGGAGGCCAUGAAAGUGGCAUAUUUAAUGACAUCAUUUUUUAACUGUACAGUAGGGGAAUCCUCUACUGUGUUAGUAUAUUAUUAAAAAAACAAAACAAAAAAGAAAGGAAGCCAGUAUAAAAUUGUACAGGAAGAAGCAGACAUCAAGAGAAAGGAGGAGAGAGAGAAUUAGGGGAGGGAAUCUAUCAAGGAGGUGACGGCUGGGUUUAUUACACUGCUCAUUCUGUACAAAUGUAAAUAGACAAGCGCAGCUCGCUGAAAGAUUUUCCUAUUUCUUUGUUUCCA